rnacentral:lncRNA from 13 species
AAAUAAUUCAACAUGGACAUAUGAGUCAUGAUUUGACUGAAAAAGCUUAGGCCCUAUGCAUCAAAACAUUAGAGCUAAAUAAAGGAGCCUACAGUUGUGCCUACCUGGUUAUUAUUGCCCGGUGUAAAUUAUGUUCAAUCCAGUUAUACAAGUCAUUGAGAAGGUAGUAAACAAAAUCCUAUUCAAUUAUUCUUCUCAGUGUAGCCUACGAAUGAAGCAGCGGACAUCCUGCACGAUUGCCUGGUAACAAAUAUAUAGGUUCCAAAUGAACUUGUUAAUCACCUCAGCUUGCAAUAUUUGUGUCCUCUAUGCUCUUUUCUCAGUCUAUUGUGUACAAUCCCACUUUGUUGUUCUCAUAAUGAGCGUUAUUCCUUGAAAUGGAGUAGUUGCUAAAGUUGAAACGCGGCGCACGCAACACAGCUCUGUAAGCUACUGAAGGGGAAACGCAUUGGCAGGUGGAUACAGCGCGCUCGCCGGUAUCCUGCAUAGACACACCCAUGGGGCGGGAACUUACCUUAGCGGCGACGCCUCUGUACCUCCCUCUUGAAAAUAAACUGGAACACAACCGCAAGAUUUCACGUCUACAAUAUCCAGGGUCCACAGAGAAUACUUCAAAAUGAGAAGAUCCUACCAUGGAAAAGAUGACUUGGUGGACAAAGUGGAAAGGAGGGGAAAUAACUCCCACCAUGCAGCAGGACCCCUUCAGCUGUGGGGUCUUUGUAAUGCAGAUGGCCAAGGAAGUUGCACAGAACUUCCCCAACAUCCCCUCCCAAAUUGAUAUGGAACCUUCAAAAACACAUUGUCACGAAUUCUGCCGAAGUCGUUGCCUCUCCUUGUUCGGGCGGUGCUCGACGUCACCGGUCUUCUAGCCAGCAUUGAUCCAUUUUUCAUUUUCCAUUGGUUUUGUCUUGUCUUCCCCCACACCUGUUUUCAAUCCCAUUCAUUACCUGUUGUGUAUGUAACCAUCUGUUUCCCCUCAUGUCUUUGUCAGAGAUUGUUUAUUGUCAGUGUUGUGUUUGUUGUAUAGGUGCGCGACGGAUCCUCGUACCCAUGUUUGUUUAUAUUCUGUUCUUAUUAGUGUUAUGGAGCAUGUUACGUGGACAUUCAUUAAAAUAAUAUAUUUUACACUCUGUUUGACUCUCCUGCG